rnacentral:rRNA from 1 species
AUGACUAUCAACAAGAGCCAGGGGCAAACUUUGUCUAAGGUAUGCGUAUACUUGCAGGAGCCGGUGUUUUCGCAUGGACAAUUAUAUGUGGCAGUGUCCCGGGUUACUUCACGCAGUGGGCUUAAAUUUUUGAUCGAGGAUGAUCGUGGAUGUCCAACUUCUGAGACUAGAAAUAUAGUUUACAGAGAGGUUAUUCUUCGAUUCUAA